UACGUAGGUGGCAAGCGUUGUCCGGAUUUAUUGGGUUUAAAGGGUGCGUAGGCGGCCCCAUAAGUCAGUGGUGAAAUACGGCAGCUCAACUGUCGAGGUGCCAUUGAUACUGCGGGGCUUGAGUACUGGUGAGGUAGGCGGAAUUGACGGUGUAGCGGUGAAAUGCUUAGAUAUCGUCAAGAACACCGAUAGCGAAGGCAGCUUACUAAGGAGUAACUGACGCUGAGGCACGAAAGUGCGGGGAUCAAACAGG
rnacentral:rRNA from 1 species